rnacentral:rRNA from 1 species
UACGGAGGGGGCUAGCGUUGUUCGGAAUUACUAGGCGUAAAGGGCUCGUAGGCGGCCAACUAAGUCAGACGUGAAAUCCCUCGGCUUAACCGGGGAACUGCGUCUGAUACUGGAUGGCUUGAGUUCGGGAGAGGGAUGCGGAAUUCCAGGUGUAGCGGUGAAAUGCGUAGAUAUCUGGAGGAACACCGGUGGCGAAGGCGGCAUCCUGGACCGAGACUGAC